GUGGGGAAUAUUGGACAAUGGGCGAAAGCCUGAUCCAGCCAUGCCGCGUGUGUGAAGAAGGUCUUCGGAUUGUAAAGCACUUUAAGUUGGGAGGAAGGGCAGUAAGUUAAUACCUUGCUGUUUUGACGUUACCGACAGAAUAAGCACCGGCUAACUUCGUGCCAGCAGCCGCGGUAAUACGAAGGGUGCAAGCGUUGAUCGGAAUUACUGGGCGUAAAGCGCGCGUAGGUGGUUUUGUAAGUUGGAGGUGAAAUCCCCGGGCUCAACCUGGGAACUGCCUCCAAAACUGCAUGACUAGAGUACGGUAGAGGGUAGUGGAAUUUCCUGUGUAGCGGUGAAAUGCGUAGAUAUAGGAAGGAACACCAGUGGCGAAGGCGACUACCUGGACUGAUACUGACACUGAGGUGCGAAAGCGUGGGGAGCAAACAGGAUUAGAAACCCCUGUAGUCC
rnacentral:rRNA from 1 species